rnacentral:sRNA from 1 species
CUGGGCUCAGCCUUGCUACUUUGAGAAGCACCUUUGGAGUCUGGGAUGCUCAGAAGAGAAAGAGCAAGUGGGACUCGGCUAUCCCAGUGACAACGAUAGCCCAGCCCACCAUCCUCACCACCACAGCCACCCUGCCAGCUGUUGUCACGGUCACCACCAGCGCCAGCGGCUCCAAGACCACCGUCAUCUCUGCUGUGGGCACCAUUGUGAAGAAGGCCAAGCAGUGACCUCAGGGGCCACCCUAGGACUUGAAAGGACCGUGCAGCCCAGUGACCACUGCCCAGUGGGAGGCGCCACUUUGUAUAUUUCAGGACUGGGACCUGCUCCCCAGAUGCCACCUGAGAGGAGCUUCUGUUUGGCAUUCCAGAUGGAAGGACAGGCAGCACGGGAGCCAGGCGCUGUGGACAGGGUCUGUCCACGCACCACCUGGGGUCUGCCGCCUAUUAAAAGUGCCGUAUUCUU